UUGAACUGAAGAGUUUGAUCAUGGCUCAGAUUGAACGCUGGCGGCAGGCCUAACACAUGCAAGUCGAGCGGAUGACGGGAGCUUGCUCCUUGAUUCAGCGGCGGACGGGUGAGUAAUGCCUAGGAAUCUGCCUGGUAGUGGGGGACAACGUUUCGAAAGGAACGCUAAUACCGCAUACGUCCUACGGGAGAAAGCAGGGGACCUUCGGGCCUUGCGCUAUCAGAUGAGCCUAGGUCGGAUUAGCUAGUUGGUGGGUAAUGGCUCACCAAGGCGACGAUCCGUAACUGGUCUGAGAGGAUGAUCAGUCACACUGGAACUGAGACACGGUCCAGACUCCUACG
rnacentral:rRNA from 1 species